rnacentral:rRNA from 1 species
GGGUUGUGAGGUUAAGCGACUAAGCGUACACGGUGGAUGCCCUGGCAGUCAGAGGCGAUGAAGGACGUGCUAAUCUGCGAUAAGCGUCGGUGAGGUGAUAUGAACCGUUAUAACCGGCGAUUUCCGAAUGGGGAAACCCAGUGUGUUUCGACACACUAUCAUUAACUGAAUCCAUAGGUUAAUGAGGCGAACCGGGGGAACUGAAACAUCUAAGUACCCCGAGGAAAAGAAAUCAACCGAGAUUCCCCCAGUAGCGGCGAGCGAACGGGGAGGAGCCCAGAGCCUGAAUCAGUGUGUGUGUUAGUGGAAGCGUCUGGAAAGGCGCGCGAUACAGGGUGACAGCCCCGUACACAAAAAUGCACAUAUUGUGAGCUCGAUGAGUAGGGCGGGACACGUGGUAUCCUGUCUGAAUAUGGGGGGACCAUCCUCCAAGGCUAAAUACUCCUGACUGACCGAUAGUGAACCAGUACCGUGAGGGAAAGGCGAAAAGAACCCCGGCGAGGGGAGUGAAAAAGAACCUGAAACCGUGUACGUACAAGCAGUGGGAGCCUCUUAAUGGGGUGACUGCGUACCUUUUGUAUAAUGGGUCAGCGACUUAUAUUCUGUAGCAAGGUUAACCGAAUAGGGGAGCCGAAGGGAAACCGAGUCUUAACUGGGCGUUAAGUUGCAGGGUAUAGACCCGAAACCCGGUGAUCUAGCCAUGGGCAGGUUGAAGGUUGGGUAACACUAACUGGAGGACCGAACCGACUAAUGUUGAAAAAUUAGCGGAUGACUUGUGGCUGGGGGUGAAAGGCCAAUCAAACCGGGAGAUAGCUGGUUCUCCCCGAAAGCUAUUUAGGUAGC